CCGAGAAUAUUCGUCAAUGGGCGAAAGCCUGAACGAGCGACGCCGCGUGGAUGAAGAAGGACUUCGGUCUGUAAAAUUCUUUUCUAGGGGAGGAAUCCGCAAGGAUGACAGUACCCUAGGAAUAAGGGGGUGCAAAUUCUGUGCCAGCAGCCGCGGUAAGGCAGAACCCCCAAGCGUUAUCCGGAUUUAUUGGGCGUAAAGGGUCCGUAGGUGUCCCGUUACAUCUUUUGUUAAACUUUCAGGGCUCAACCUUGAAACUGCGAAAGAUAUGGGCGGGAUUGAGGGCGUUAGGGGCUGAUGGAACGGUCGGUGUAGGGGUGAAAUCCGUUGAUAUCGACCGGAACACCGAAAGCGAAGGCAUUCAGCUGGGGCGACCCUGACACUGAGGGACGAAAGCGUGGGUAGCAAAAAGG
rnacentral:rRNA from 1 species